rnacentral:rRNA from 1 species
UGGGGAGCGAACAGGAUUAGAUACCUGGUAGUCACGCGUAAACGAUGAGUGCUAGGUGUUGGAUCCUUCCGGGAUUCAGUGCCGCAGCUAACGCAUUAAGCACUCCGCUGGGGAGUACGACCGCAAGGUUGAAACUCAAAGGAAUUGACGGGGGCCCGCACAAGCGGUGGAGCAUGUGUUAAUUCGAAGCAACGCGAAGAACCUUACCAGGUCUUGACAUCCCGAUCUAUUUCUAGAGAUAGAAAGUUACUUCGGUAAUCGGUGACAGGUGGUGCAUGGUUGUCGUCAGCUCGUGUCGUGAGAUGUUGGGUUAAGUCCCGCAACGAGCGCAACCCCUAUUGUUAGUUGCCAUCAUUCAGUUGGGCACUCUAGCGAGACUGCCGGUAAUAAACCGGAGGAAGGUGGGGAUGACGUCAAAUCAUCAUGCCCCUUAUGACCUGGGCUACACACGUGCUACAAUGGUUGGUACAACGAGUUGCGAGUCGGUGACGGCGAGCUAAUCUCUUAAAGCCAAUCUCAGUUCGGAUUGUAGGCUGCAACUCGCCUACAUGAAGUCGGAAUCGCUAGUAAUCGCGGAUCAGCACGCCGCGGUGAAUACGUUCCCGGGCCUUGUACACACCGCCCGUCACACCACGAGAGUUUGUAACACCCGAAGUCGGUGAGGUAACCUUUUGGAGCCAGCCGCCUAAGGUGGGACAGAUGAUUGGGGUGAAGUCGUAACAAGGUAACCAAGGGCGAAUUCUG